rnacentral:ncRNA from 1 species
AUCCCGUCACAACGGCUUCCUGGCGUGGCGGAGAAAUGUAAUGGAGCA